rnacentral:rRNA from 1 species
UACGUAGGGUGCAAGCGUUAAUCGGAAUUACUGGGCGGUAAAGGGCUCGUAGGCGGCCAACUAAGUCAGACGUGAAAUCCCCGUCGGCCUUAACCGGGGAACUGCCUCUGAUACUGGAUGGCUUGAGAUUGGGAGAGGGAUGCGGAAUUCCAGGUGUAGCGGUGAAAUGCGUAGAUAUCAGGAGGAAUACCGAUGGCGAAGGCAGGUCUCUGGGCUGACACUGACGCUCAUGCACGAAAGCGUGGGGAGCAAACAGG